GCCGGGUGUGGUGGUGCUCGUCUGUAAUCCCAGCUACUUGGGGGAGGCUGAGACAGGAGAAUCGCUUGAACCCAGGAGGCAGAGGUUGCAGUGAGCUGAGAUUGAGCCACUGCACUCCAGCUUGGGUGACAGAGUGAGACUCUGUCUCAA
rnacentral:SRP_RNA from 1 species